AGCUUUGUGCAGUGGCAGUAUCGUAGCCAGUGAGGCUUAUCCGAGGUGCGAUUAUUGCUAACUGAAAAUCCAAGAGUUGGACGCUUAACCAACUGAGCCACCCAGUACCCAACAAUUAGUGAUAUUUUAAAGUAAUUUAUUA